UCCUCUUUUCUCUCUUUUUCUAUACCUCACUGGUAAUCGACUAGAAUUUAAAGCUCAAGCGACAUCCCCUCCUAUGUUCUUCCUUUUUCUGUUGGAAACGAUUUCAGUUUUUGAUUUUUGAGUAGGUCACUUGCCCGAUGAGUUUAUUAAGCUCCCUCUUUCACUUGAACUGAUCCUCCCUCUCUCAUUCCUAUUCUAUUCAUGUGAAAUUGGGGAUUUUUAGCAUUUUUUUGUUAUUGGUUCUCUAUUUAUUUCUUAAUGAGCGAUGGUGGUUCCAAACAUUGGAUUUCUUCUUCAGCAUGAAGUUGUGCAUGGUGUUGUUCUAAGACCGAUUUCCAAAUGAUCUCUGGUUUUGAUUUUAGGGCUUUUUGGUUCUUGGCUACCGAUUAAAGGAAUUCUCCCAAGUACAUCGUCAAGAUUUGAAAAAAGGUAGACUUUAUGCUUUUCUUUCCCUCUGCAUCGCCACCUCCAGCGAAUUUGAAAGAACACUUGCCACCAACUUUAAUCAAGCUGCAGAUUCGACAUAUCUGCCAUUCUGGCUGACCAGCAUCCCAUUUGCCUUUUUUAGUGUCUUCUUUCCUUUAUUAAAGGUACAAUCGUGUCACGGAUUGAGAUACAGGAAGAGAUGGGAUCAAAGGGUUCUAAUGUUGUAUGUAAGUAUUUACUUAUUUACGAUUGUGGUAAUUCAUUAUUCAAUCCCUUUCCUCUCUAAUUUAACAUGAGAUUCUCUUUUUGUGUUUUUUUGGCAUUGUGAAUUUAAUUUAGGUUCAAGUUGGAUCAAACCCACAAAUUAUAUUAGAAAUGUUAAAUUUCUAAUUGUUGAUUGCCACUCUCAUGAUGGAUUUACAGUGCCUCUUUUGCAGUUGACAUAUAAUCCUAACCAUCAUGAGAGUGGCAAUCUUUGUACUGGCGUAACUUCAUAUCCAUUAAUUGAGAAGAAUGGAGAUCAGGUUGAAGAGAAUGGCCUUUAGUGUUCAAAGUCCACCAAAAGUCCAACUUUUAACCUUCUUCCUCUUGCUCUCACUCAAACUCUACCAUAGUUUCAGUUGAACCGUAUACAUUUCUCUUCUAGCUAUGUCAAGGACUUAAAAUGACAAUAUAAAUGAAAUUGCUAGAAGUGUUUAAAUGGAAGAAAUUUGGAACCUCAUGAUUCUCCUCAAGUUACUUAUUCACCAGUGGUUGAUGAAGACCUUCUCAUGAUUAUGAAGGUAAAUAUUUUGUAAUUAAUGUAUUAUACUAUUUAGAUUCUGUCUAAUUAUAGCAUUGUACUUUUUCUAAUGUUUUUCUUAUUCGGACGUUAUACAUUGAGAAAUCUACCUAACUAUAACAUUAAAAUUUGAUUUGUGUGCUCGUGAGACUUAUAAUAGUAUUUUAGUUUAAGACAAGGACCAUUGAGCUUGAUGGAAAACAGUCAAACUGCAAAGAUGGGACUGCUCGUCAGGAAUGCAUACUUAAUGACUUAAUGAUGUUCUAGCUCUUGUUGAUAGCAUUGGCAUCAAGCCCAUGAGUAAUAUCUAUAAUCUUUUGAUUUGUUAGUGUUAUCAUGUGUUCCUAUGAUUGUGUCUACUGCUUUUCCAUUCGUGAAGGGAGCAGUUUUUUUUUUCUUCUGAUGCUGUAAAUGAAUUAAAGGUCGUUGGUCAAAGCAAUUAUGAGUUGGUAUACUUGUAUGAUGUUAAU